rnacentral:rRNA from 1 species
CCUACGGGGCGCAGCAGUGGGGGAUAUUGCACAAUGGGGGGAACCCUGAUGCAGCGACGCCGCGUGGGUGAAGGAGUAUUUCGGUAUGUAAAGCCCUAUCGGCAGGGAAGAAGAAAGACGGUACCUGACUAAGAAGCCCCGGCUAACUCCGUGCCAGCAGCCGCGGUAAUACGGAGGAUGCGAGCGUUAUCCGGAUUUAUUGGGUUUAAAGGGUGCGUAGGCGGAUCGUUAAGUCAGUGGUCAAAUUGAGGGGCUCAACCCCUUCCCGCCAUUGAAACUGGCGUUGUUGAGUGGAAGAGAAGUAU